GUUUUGGCCAGCUUCUUUACCGCAUCUUGUUUUAUCAGCAGGGUCUUUGUGACCUGUAUCUGGCAAAACCUCCCCUGAGAUGCAAUUCAUUGGUUCCUGGGGUAACCAACCUGCCUCCCUGGCAGCCACUGACUCAUCCUGUGACGAAGAAUGCCUAACCUCCUGGGAAUGCAGCCCAGCAGGUCUCAGCCUCAUUUUGCGCAGCACCUGUUCAAGAUGGAGUCGCUCUGGUUCGAACACCUCUGACAGCUGCCCGACAAUGUGAAUGUACUUAAUGCCACUGAACUUACAAAUGAUUGAAAUGGUAAUUUUACGUUAUAGUACAUUUUACUACAGUAAAAAAUGUUUUAAAAAAGAAAUCAUUACUCUCUUGCUAAGAUCUUGUUUCAUCUUAACACACACGAGAUGCCUUGUCUUCAUUUCGUGGACAGGCAAGGCCGAAUUCCGUUUCACAGAUAGAGGACUGAGAUCUGGAGGCAGAGGGCAGGAAUUAAAAACAAGACAAACAAGAGCCUUAUACAGGCAGUGUCUUUCUGAGUCUGAUCCCUGUUGUCUUGAGAGCUGCGGUGAGGGAAAGUCGUCUUCAGAGCCCUCAGGGUCAAAGCAGUUUGUUACCCUUGAGAUAGACAAAGCUCCUAACCUCUCCAGCUUUUUGCCGACAGCUCGAUUCUGAUGGGCACUGACCUUUUCCGACCCUGUUUUCAGGAGCCGACUCCUGGCAGGUUGGUUGUAGGGGCCCUCUUGAGUGCUUCACACACAGCAGUCCUGUUGGGGUGAAGGUCACCGUCACUGUGAUAAUUGUUGUCGUCGUUGAAACCACCCAGCCCGAAAGCAGCAUGGGCUGUGCCCAGAGCCGCCGUGCCAGAAGCCCACGCUUAGAAAUAGAGGGCCGAAGACCAAAGAGGACUGCGGGUUCUUGGGCCAAACGUGACCCUCUCAAAUCCCCCAACUCGGGGAUUUCGUUAGCUGGGGACUGGUGUGCCCGGGUUCCAAGACCCCUGCGUAGACUCUGUCUAUAGGUGGAAGAAGGCCUUUGCCCCGAGGCAUCCAGAGGCAACUCCAGUGGCAUCUUCUGCGGGGAGACCAGAAGCAGCAUCUGACGAGGAGACAGCACUGGCGGUCCCGACACAACUGAAUCGGCAGGAUGAGGGCCCUUAGUGUUAGGCACCGGCGGAGCUGCAUCCCACCCCGUCUCGUCCCCUGAGAACAGCUGUGAGAAGCCGCCUAUUUUUCAUCGUUCUGCAACACACCUUUCCCUUCCUUGGGAUAUUUCUCCUCUUUCAGCAUUGCCGCAUCAGGGUUCCAAAGCCCCGUUUCUCUCCUAGUUCUUUCUUUGCUCAAGAAAAGCAGCUUGUCUGAUAAACUAAGCUAUGUAUGAUUCGCUGCCAGUACAGACUGAAAAACAAAAUAAACUCCCAAUUCACAGUCCUCCGUUGCGUAACAGUGAGCAGACGUUCUGAGAAAUGCAUCGUCAGGCAAUUGCAUCAUUGUGCAAACAAUAUAGAGUGUACUUACCCAAACCUAAACAGCACAGCCUACUACACACCCAGGCUGUAGGCUGUGCUUCUAGACUACAAACCUGUACAGUGUGGUACUGAACACUGUAGGCAACUGUAACACAAUGGUGUACCUAAUUCCUCUGCCUAGAAAGUGUGCUGGAAUUACUGCCUGGCUUCUGAUGAAUAGGGCGUAUUGAGAGUGAUGCUUUGUGAGUUCUGAGGCUAGGUCAUAGAAAGGAUUGAACUUAUUCCUGAAUGUUGCUCUUGGAUCACUUGCUUUUUUGGGAACCACCAGCCAUGUCAUGAGGACACUCAAGCAACCCUGCAGAGAAGCACAUGUGUGGAGAGGCACUUCUUGGAAAGGAGGCCAACUUGCCAGAACCAACUAAUUUGUCAUGUGAGUGAGUCAUUUUGGAAGCAGAUCCUCUACCCUCAGUCAGGCCUUCCGAUGAUUUCAGCCCCCAGCCUUUGAGUCUGCCCCAAACACCAUGAGUAGAGACAAGCCCUUCCCACUGUGUCCACCCUGGCUGAAUUCCAGACCGUUAAAAAAACA
rnacentral:lncRNA from 10 species